UGACCGCUGGCGGCGUGCCUACUACAUGCACGUCGAGCGACCAGAUGAGGAGCUUGCUCCUCUGACGUUAGCGGCGGACGGGUGAGUAACACGUGGAUAACCUACCUAUAAGACUGGGAUAACUUCGGGAAACCGGAGCUAAUACCGGAUAAUAUAUUGAACCGCAUGGUUCACUAGUGAAAGACGGUUUUGCUGUCACUUAUAGAUGGAUCCGCGCCGCAUUAGCUAGUUGGUAAGGUAACGGCUUACCAAGGCAACCAUGCGUAGCCGACCUGAGAGGGUGAUCGGCCACACUGGAACUGAGACACGGUCCAGACUCCUACGGGAGGCAGCAGUAGGGAAUCUUCCGCAAUGGGCGAAAGCCUGACGGAGCAACGCCGCGUGAGUGAUGAAGGUCUUCGGAUCGUAAAACUCUGUUAUUAGGGAAGAACAAAUGUGUAAGUAACUAUGCACGUCUUGACGGUACCUAAUCAGAAAGCCACGGCUAACUACGUG
rnacentral:rRNA from 1 species